rnacentral:rRNA from 1 species
UCCAGCCAUGCCGCGUGGAUGAAGAAGGCCCUAGGGUUGUAAAAUCCUUUCGCUAGGGAAGAUAAUGACGGUACCUAGUAAAGAAGCCCCGGCUAAUUUCGUGCCAGCAGCCGCGGUAAUACGAAAGGGGCUAGCGUUAUUCGGAAUCAUUGGGCUUAAAGGGUGCGUAGGCGGCUUGGCAAGUUGGGUGUGAAAUCCCUCGGCUUAACCGAGGAACUGCGCUCAAAACUGCCAGGCUAGAGGGAGAUAGAGGUGAGCGGAACUAAUGGUGGAGCGGUGAAAUGCGUUGAUAUCAUUAGGAACACCUGUGGCGAAAGCGGCUCACUGGAUCUUUUCUGACGCUGAGGCACGAAAGCUAGGGUAGCGAACGGGAUUAGAUACCCCGGUAGUCCUAGCUGUAAACGAUGAGCACUGGGUUGGAGAGUCCUCCAUAGCUUUCCGGCCGAAGCGAAAGUGUUAAGUGCUCCGCCUGGGGAGUAUGGUCGCAAGGCCGAAACUCAAAGGAAUUGACGGGGGCUCACACAAGCGGUGGAGGAUGUGGCUUAAUUCGAGGCUACGCGAAGAACCUUAUCCUGGUCUUGACAUGUACGGAUGUGCCGCCUGAAAGGGAUGGUCACUGCCUUCGGGUGAAACGUACACAGGUGCUGCAUGGCUGUCGUCAGCUCGUGUCGUGAGAUGUCGGGUUAAGUCCCUUAACGAGCGAAACCCUUGUCCCUAGUU